ensembl:lncRNA
UCUUUUACUGGUGAUCUUUUCUUGGUGAAGUGUUUCCUUAUGAGCUGAGAAUCUUCUGAUAUGGCAGAGAGAAUAAUAGGACUUCAAACUCUCUGGACUCCCCACUUUGCAAGGAUCUCGAAGUACCUGAUAGCUGGUGGAGAAGAAGGAUGUAACAUGAGAAAGCAAUGCACAAAAAUAUGAAAGCCCAAGUCUGUGCACCACCCACUUACUGAAAAAUAAGGAUAAGCUGUGCUCAUCUUCCCCCCCACCAAAACAGGGAAGCCAUCCCUUGGCACACCUUCUGCAGGGGCUGCAUUGAGCUUUGGGCUGUUGACAGGGUCAGCUGUCCAUUGUGCAGCCAGCGCAUCAGCAUGCUUGUGAGCCUUAUGUGGCACUCCCCAGGUCAUGUCUUAACUCACCAGUCCUGGGGAAGGAUCCAGCAGGCUACAGAGUGACAGGAAAGAAGAUCCCCAACCAAGUCCCAGAGUGUCUUGUGCCAACACAAACAGCGCAGUCCCUCCAGGCCCCCCCUGCCAGCUUGUCUGUAGCCUCUGCUGGGAGUGGGAGCACAACGGACGCAGGCAGUUGGAACUGCUGUGGGAUACCAAGGACACUGGAUGGCUGACAUGAGUCCAAGAAGAGCAGUGGAGCUCCAGAGACCACAUGCAUUGCCAUGCUGGACUCCACUUCAGAGUAGGUGGCUCAACCUGCUGAGAGAAGGCUGAGGCACUCUGCAGCUCUUCUGCGCCAGGUGUCACUAGUCAUCGUUAUUCCUUGGACUGCAUCAGGAGAUGUGCUGCCAGCAGCUCAAGGUCAUCACUCUAUUCCCCUCUGCUCAGCCCUGGUGAGACCCAGUGUCCAGAGCUCCGAAGUACAACAGAGACCUGGACACGCUGGAAGGAGCCCAGUGAAUAGCAGCCAAGCUGAUGGGAAGGGAGUACUGGAGCAUCUCUGCAAUGAGAAGAGAGCUGGGACUGCUCCUCCCACUGAAAAGAAGGCACAAGGGGAUCUUGUCAAUGCCAAUAGAUUAUUGAAAAUCCUGAAAUUGGUGGUAGAUUUCCUUCUGUUCCUUCUGAGAGAUGAAAGACAAACUUAACCUGGGAUCCCACUGUAUGGCUUCUGAUGCAUCAGCCGCUCCUCCUAGUUUGGGAUUCUCAGUGGCCUUGUGAGGAUAAACGCUGAUGCGUCAUCCUGAUCAUUUGUGAGGCUCUUAAGCAGGACUGGACCCACUACUGACCCAUGGGAUGAACCUGAAGGAUGGCUGCAGCUUUCCCAAAUUCAGGCAGAGCAGAUGUGCAGAGGAAUGAAGGGUCCAUGGGCAUUUCAGCUUUGUAUCAUCAGCAGACUUGCUGAAAGCAUGCUCUGAGUCGUUUUCCAUUUGUUGAAGAAGUUGCUUCAUGGUACAGCCACAGCCUCACCUCAUGUGCCUAUACUUGUUGGAGGCACUGUCAGCAUUUAAACAUCUGAUGCUGCCAUUUGAACAUGUUCAUUCAGCUCACAGACCCGUGUCCCAGCUUCAUCUUCCCACCUCAGGUCCCUACCUCACGCCACAAACUCACAUCCCACUGCCAAAGCCUGGUCUUGUGAAUCACUGCAUGUUAAUAGUCUGAGAUUUUAAUAUUUCCAUCCCCAAUACACUUAUAGACUCUAGCACCACUGCAGAUCUCUGCUCUCUUAGAAUCACAGAAUGGCUUGCAUUGGAAGGGACCUUAAAGACCACCUCAUUUCAACCGCUUGCUGUGGGAAGGGUUUCCACC